GGGGAAGGUCGCGGGAAGGGCGGGAGGGGAAGGGGAAAAGCGCCCCAUUUUCAAGAGCCACUUCGGGAGGGAAAGAGGGCAACCAAGGGGGGACCUCCCUCUCCCCCUCCUUCCCUCCUGGAAGAAGAAAGGAAAGACACGUGGACGUGCCUCCUUUCCGACGUGCGGGCCUCGCCUUCCUGGGCGCUGACACGCGAGAGCCUCCCUCCCGAAGACAGAAACCUGGCCCAGUCCUUCCUCGGUAGGCUAUUGGGAGAUCACCCUUGGGAGGUAAUAAUAAUAAAUUAUUAUCAGCUGCUGAGGCGAGGCGGCGGCGGCCAUUUCCCCCCUCCGUCUUCCUCCUCCUCCUCGGCCUCCUUCCCCCUUGCCCCCUCCCAUUGGCUGAGCCUGUGACGCUCCUUUUGCUGAGGGGCAAAAGGAAAGGGCCUGAAUGGUGGGAGUUUGGGUGCUUUGCAAAAGCUUUUUUUUCCUAACGAAAAAAACGACGACAUAACGAAAAACGGCCUCUCGCGAUUCGAAACCGCGAUAUCCAGACGUGUGACAACCAAUGCUUCAAAAUUGCUUCAAAACAAACGAAAAUAACGAAUUAAUAACGGUUAACGGGGAAAACGAAUUAUUUGAGCAAGCCUAAUAUAUAUUAAAGGGUAAUGAAAUUUCGGCCUAGGACAAAACAACAAAACUACACAUCCCAGAAACACUAAACUUGGCAGCACAACCCCUCAUCCAUGCCUCUACGUUCAUACAACAAAAAGAAAAGAAAAAUCAAGUCCUAAUUAGAGGGAGAGGAAGAAUUGUUUUUAUCCAAUUGCUGCCAGUUAGAAGGCUAAGCUCCGCCCACUUGGUCUCCUAGCAACCCACUCACCCCAGGGUACAGGUAGAAUUAGGCCUCACUUAGGCCUCUUCCACACUGUCUAUAAAAUACAGAUUAUCUGAUUUUAACUGGAUUAUAUGGCAGUGUAGACUCAAGGCCCUUCCACACAGCUAUAUAACCCAUUUAUAAUGGACUUAAUGUCAGGGGAAAGCUUGACCCUUUAUCUUAACUACCACCAAUUCCUCAAUACUUUAUUUCCCAUACCACCAUACUUCGCCACAGCAACGCGUGGCCGGGCACAGCUAGUUAUUACUAAAGUUGUUUUUGCAUGCUGUCAGGGCAGCGGACAAAACAACAAAACUACAGGCCCUCCAACCUCGAAAUUUGACAAUACAACCCAUCAUCCACGGCUCUAG
rnacentral:lncRNA from 1 species